GCACAGACUAGGCUGGGGGGUUAGGCGUCCCCUGUAACCGGAAAUCGCCUUAGCCGGAGCCGAAGCCUCCAAGGCGGCGUGUGCAUCCAGCAACGAUCCAGCAUCAGACGAUGAUGUUUCGUCCUCCGGGAUUGGAGGUGAUGGGAGUGUCAGCUGGAGGGCUGAUGCUUCCAUCUUUAUCCCGGCCACCGGGUUAGGCCCGGAAGGGAGCGGCCCAGCCGGGAACUACCGAUGCUCGGAGGGGCGCGGAACUGAGAAAGGUGCUGGGGCAAUCGUUGCUGGGUGUAUGCGCCCACUUGGGGCGUGUCUGUGC
rnacentral:SRP_RNA from 1 species